rnacentral:rRNA from 1 species
AGUGAACGCUGGCGGUAGGCCUAACACAUGCAAGUCGAACGGCAGCACAGUAAGAGCGUUCUCUUACGGGUGGCGAGUGGCGGACGGGUGAGGAAUACAUCGGAAUCUACUUUUUCUUGGGGGAUAACGUAGGUAAACUUACGCUAAUACCGCAUACGACCUACGUGUUAAAUCAGUGAAUCUUCGUACCUUGCUCGAUUUAAUGAGCCGAUGUCGGAUUAGCUAGUUGGCGGGGUAAAGGCCCACCAAGGCGACGAUCCGUAGCUGGUUUGAUAGGAUGAUCAGCCACACUGGAACUGAGACACGGUCCAGACUCCUACGGGAGGCAGCAGUGGGGAAUAUUGGACAAUGGGCGCAAGCCUGAUCCAGCCAUACCGCGUGGGUGAAGAAGGCCUUCGGGUUGUAAAGCCCUUUUGUUGGGAAAGAAAAGCAGCAGGUUAAUACCCCGCUGUUCUGACGGUACCCAAAGAAUAAGCACCGGCUAACUUCGUG